ensembl:lncRNA
GUUUUACUUUGUCUGUGGGCUUUCUGGUUGCAAGAGGAGCCCAGGGUCCCCCAGGAAGUUCUCCUGUGGAGGCCUUGGGAGUGAGACAAUGCAGACAGGAGGCAGGAGGAGCAAGGGCGUGCAGGUGGAAGGAGUGAGGACAAAGGGAGGAUUUGAAGACCAGUCCUCUCUAUUUUUAGAAGAAGGGCAACUGUCUGUCUCAGGUCUUCCCUGGUGGCUCAGCAAUAAAGAAUCUGCCUGCAAUGGAGGAGAGCCACCCAUGCUGCUUGCACGGAGAAGCCUGAUGUGAAGAACUGACUCAUUGGAAAAGGCCCUGAUGCUGGGAAAGAUUGAAGGCAGAAGGAGAAGGGGAUGACAGAGGAUGGAUGGCACCACCGACUCGAGGGACAUGAAUUUGAACAAGCUCUAGGAAUUGGUGAUGGACAGGGAAGCCUGGCGUGCUGCAGUCCAUGGGGUCACAAAGAGUCAGACAAGACUGAGUGACCGAACUGAACUGAUGUGGCUUGCAUGGUUCCCAACAUGAUCUUAGUUUCCCAACCAGGAAUUGAACCCAUACCCUUGGCAGUGAAAGAGUGGAGUCCUAACCUCUGGAUGGCCAGUGGUUAGUCCCUAGGAUGUGGGCAUCUUUUAGGGGUUGGAAUAAAGACCAGAGUUUCUUGUCUCA